AAGACUAUACUUUCAGGGAUCAUUUCUACAGUUUGUUACUAAGAUGUAUUUUAAAUGAAGCUUGCAUAAUU
ensembl:snoRNA U3 Small nucleolar RNA U3